GCAGUGAACAUUGGGCAUAUGAAGGUGUUU
rnacentral:piRNA from 1 species